AUGCGCCGUCGUAAAGUUUCUGUUUGUAUUUGCCUUCAUAACUGGUAUUUCCGCUUUUAUUUUAUGUGUUGUGUUCUAGUUGGUUAAAGACUCAAAAAGCUAUCUUUCAUCAAAGAUUUGGAGAUGCCUUGCUGUAUUGAGAGAGGAACAGAUAAAUGCUACGCUAUCGUUUAGUUUCCAGAUGGUAUUUAACUUGUACCGAAACUUUGGUUUUGUGAUGAUGCCUGUGGCCUAAUUAUCCGAAUCAACUAAACAUGAACAAAACAACAGCUGCUUACAGGACAUAGGUCCAUUGGUCUAGAGCUCAUAUUGAAAAUACAACCAAGGCUGAUGGUCAUCGCUAGAUGGCUUGUACAAAGGAAACUGAGGCACACAAGGUUAUUUUUGACGAUGGAAGGAUUGUGAAGGAAACAGGAUUUUUGGGACAUUUGCCUCAG